rnacentral:lncRNA from 1 species
GGCUUAGUGCGUUGCCCUAUGUGACUGAUCUGUCUCAAACUCUCUACAGGGGGUUGUGGAGGGCUGAGGGGCCUGACCUCCUAGAAGACUUGGAAUACUCCUGCCAUCCCUUUUAGUGUCUCCGCGGAUUGGACCUAUCUCAACCAGGAAUCAGGAAAAAGAGCUGGAAGAAACGAAGCAGCACAUAUUAAGACCAAUAGACUAGCCUAACUCUACAUGAACCCACGUCCUUCG